GGGUGAAUCUUCCACAAUGGACGAAAGUCUGAUGGAGCAACGCCGCGUGAGUGAUGAAGGUUUUCGGAUCGUAAAACUCUGUUGUAAGGGAAGAACACGUACGAGAGGAAAUGCUCGUACCUUGACGGUACCUUACGAGAAAGCCACGGCUAACUACGUGCCAGCAGCCGCGGUAAAUAAAAAAA
rnacentral:rRNA from 1 species